ensembl:ncRNA Y50D4A.8 ncRNA
UAUCCAUUGAACCAUUUGAAUGCCUUGAUUCUUCUAGAUUCUCCUGGACCUCCUGGAUUUGUUGGAUCUUCUCCAGAACAUUCAUUGUUAAUGAUCAAUGAAGUUGGUCCAAAGAUUGGUCCAUCAUAUCCAGCUGCUGCAUUCUUUGCU